CAGCUAUCUCUUAUCCAGAACCCUCAACACGAGCAACAAGAGACAGAGCUGCAACCUUCCCCUUCUCCUUCAAAACGCUAACCAUCUCGCUCACCCUAAACCGUAAUCAACCGAAUCCUUCUCACCCGAACCUCAAACCGUAGUCCCUUCUCAACCACCCACUCCUCGAUUCGCUCGUUCUCCUCCACACCCUACUAGAUCGUGAAGCCAACUCCACAGCGCACGCAAGACGAUGCCUCCGAGGACCUGCACCUCUCCAGUGUCCUCAUCCAAGACGAGGACGACGCCUUCGAGAUGAGGUCGUAGGGGGUGGAGCAGAGGACGGCAUGGGGGGUGGAGCUGGAAGAAGGAAGAAGGAAGAAGAAGAGAUAAAUAGAUUGACCAAAAAAACCAAAAAAAGCCCCAGAUCGGAUCAUCUUCACCCCAGAUGGAUCAUCUUCUCUCUCGGCCUCAAUUUCCAGUUCGAAUUGAGCUCCAAACAGCUGCUCCACCGUAGAGCACUCAUCGACCCAAAAAUUUAUUUAUGAUAAUCUAACCUUGUUGCUGAUUUGGGUUUUAUGAUGGUAAAUGGUAUUGUUGUUCAAAUUUGUGAUUGAAUUAGGCUCUGAACUGUAUUUUGUGUCUGUUGUUUUCGAUUUCGAUUGCUUUUGGGGGUUUUGUAAUGGUGAAUGGUGUUGUUAUUGAUGAGAUUGCAUUAAU